rnacentral:rRNA from 1 species
AGCGAACGCUGGCGGCAGGCCUAACACAUGCAAGUCGAACGAACUCUUCGGAGUUAGUGGCGGACGGGUGAGUAACACGUGGGAACGUGCCUUUAGGUUCGGAAUAACUCAGGCAAACUUGUGCUAAUACCGAAUGUGCCCUUCGGGGGAAAGAUUUAUCGCCUUUAGAGCGGCCCGCGUCUGAUUAGCUAGUUGGUGAGGUAAAGGCUCACCAAGGCGACGAUCAGUAGCUGGUCUGAGAGGAUGAUCAGCCACAUUGGGACUGAGACACGGCCCAAACUCCUACGGGAGGCAGCAGUGGGGAAUCUUGCGCAAUGGGCGAAAGCCUGACGCAGCCAUGCCGCGUGAAUGAUGAAGGUCUUAGGAUUGUAAAAUUCUUUCACCGGGGACGAUAAUGACGGUACCCGGAGAAGAAGCCCCGGCUAACUUCGUG